ACUCCUGCGGGAGGCAGCAGUGGGGAAUAUUGGACAAUGGGCGCAAGCCUGAUCCAGCCAUGCCGCGUGAGUGAUGAAGGCCCUAGGGUUGUAAAGCUCUUUCACCGGUGAAGAUAAUGACGGUAACCGGAGAAGAAGCCCCGGCUAACUUCGUGCCAGCAGCCGCGGUAAUACGAAGGGGGCUAGCGUUGUUCGGAUUUACUGGGCGUAAAGCGCACGUAGGCGGACUAUUAAGUCAGGGGUGAAAUCCCGGGGCUCAACCCCGGAACUGCCUUUGAUACUGGUAGUCUUGAGUUCGAGAGAGGUGGGUGGAAUUCCGAGUGUAGAGGUGAAAUUCGUAGAUAUUCGGAGGAACACCAGUGGCGAAGGCGGCUCACUGGCUCGAUACUGACGCUGAGGUGCGAAAGCGUGGGGAGCAAACAGGAUUAGAUACCCGAGUAGUCCCA
rnacentral:rRNA from 1 species